GACAGAGGGUGCAAACGUUGCUCGGAAUCACUGGGCGUAAAGGGCGCGUAGGUGGUGGCUUAAGCGUGCGGUGAAAGCUCGGGGGCUCAACCCCCGAGUCGGCCGUGCGAACUGGGCUCACUGGAGCAUAGUAGAGGCAGGUGGAAUUCCGGGUGUAGCGGUGGAAUGCGUAGAGAUCCGGAAGAACACCGGUGGCGAAGGCGGCCUCUGGGCUAUGGGCUGACACUGAGGCGCGACAGCGUGGGGGAGCAAACAGGG
rnacentral:rRNA from 1 species